CAGCCGCCGCGGGAAAACGUAGGGUGCAAGCGUUAAUCGGAAUUACUGGGCGUAAAGCGCACGCAGGCGGUCUGACAAGUCAGAUGUGAAAUCCCCGGGCUUAACCUGGGAACUGCAUUUGAAACUGUCAGGCUGGAGUCUUGUAGAGGGGGGUAGAAUUCCAGGUGUAGCGGUGAAAUGCGUAGAGAUCUGGAGGAAUACCGGUGGCGAAGGCGGCCCCCUGGACAAAGACUGACGCUCAGGUGCGAAAGCGUGGGGAGCAAACAGGAUUAGAUACCCGGGUAGUCCCUGUCUCUUAUAC
rnacentral:rRNA from 1 species